AGUGAACGCUGGCGGUAGGCCUAACACAUGCAAGUCGAACGGCAGCACAGUAAGAGCUUGCUCUUACGGGUGGCGAGUGGCGGACGGGUGAGGAAUACAUCGGAAUCUACUUUUUCGUGGGGGAUAACGUAGGGAAACUUACGCUAAUACCGCAUACGACCAACGGGUGAAAGCAGGGGAUCUUCGUACCUUGCGCGAUUGAAUGAGCCGAUGUCGGAUUAGCUAGUUGGCGGGGUAAAGGCCCACCAAGGCGACGAUCCGUAGCUGGUCUGAGAGGAUGAUCAGCCACACUGGAACUGAGACACGGUCCAGACUCCUACGGGAGGCAGCAGUGGGGAAUAUUGGACAAUGGGCGCAAGCCUGAUCCAGCCAUACCGCGUGGGUGAAGAAGGCCUUCGGGUUGUAAAGCCCUUUUGUUGGGAAAGAAAAGCAGCAGGUUAAUACCCCGCUGUUCUGACGGUACCCAAAGAAUAAGCACCGGCUAACUUCGUG
rnacentral:rRNA from 1 species